GACGAACGCUGGCGGCGUGCUUAACACAUGCAAGUCGAGCGGUAAGGCCCUUUCGGGGGUACACGAGCGGCGAACGGGUGAGUAACACGUGGGUGACCUGCCCUCAGCUCUGGGAUAAGCCUGGGAAACCGGGUCUAAUACUGGAUAUGACUCCAUGACGCAUGUUGUGGGGUGGAAAGCCUUGUGCGGCUGAGGAUGGGCCCGCGGCCUAUCAGCUUGUUGGUGGGGGAUGGCCUACCAAGGCGACGACGGGUAGCCGGCCUGAGAGGGCGACCGGCCACACUGGGACUGAGACACGGCCCAGACUCCUACGGGAGGCAGCAGUGGGGAAUCUUGCGCAAUGGGCGAAAGCCUGACGCAGCGACGCCGCGUGAGGA
rnacentral:rRNA from 1 species